rnacentral:rRNA from 1 species
UACGUAGGGUGCAAGCGUUGUCCGGAAUUAUUGGGCGUAAAGAGCUUGUAGGCGGUUUUUCGCGUCUGCUGUGAAAUUUCGGGGCUCAACCCCGAACUUGCAGUGGGUACGGGCAGACUAGAGUGUGGUAGGGGAGACUGGAAUUCCUGGUGUAGCGGUGAAAUGCGCAGAUAUCAGGAGGAACACCGAUGGCGAAGGCAGGUCUCUGGGCCAUAACUGACGCUGAGGAGCGAAAGCGUGGGGAGCGAACAGG